ACGACCCUGCUGUGCGCGUGAUGCUGCAUUCCGUUUUGAGCCAACACUUGAGACGAGGGGUUUGAGCUACAACGGGGGACGCGGUAGGCUUAGGCCAAGGCGAAGCCCGUAUGCCGGACCCCACCUGCGAAAGCAGGUUCAAAACCACGCGACACACGGCACGGCGGGGUGUUC
rnacentral:other from 1 species